rnacentral:rRNA from 1 species
GUGUCAGCAGCCGCGGUAAUACAGAGGGUGCGAGCGUUGUUCGGAAUUAUUGGGCGUAAAGAGCGCGUAGGCGGUCUGCUAAGUCUGGUGUGAAAGCCCUCGGCUUAACCGGGGAAGUGCAUUGGAUACUGGCAGGCUUGAGUGUGAGAGAGGAUCGUGGAAUUCCUGGUGUAGCGGUGAAAUGCGUAGAUAUCAGGAGGAACACCGGUGGCGAAGGCGGCGAUCUGGAUCAUAACUGACGCUGAGGCGCGAAAGCGUGGGUAGCAAACAGGAUUAGAUACCCUGGUAGUCC